GGGGGGGGCAAGCGUUGUUCGGAAUUACUGGGCGUAAAGGGUGCGUAGGCGGCCUACUAAGUCGGACGUGAAAUCCCUCGGCUCAACCGAGGAACUGCGUCCGAUACUGGCAGGCUGGAAUCCGGGAGAGGGAUGUGGAAUUCCAGGUGUAGCGGUGAAAUGCGUAGAUAUCUGGAGGAACACCGGUGGCGAAGGCGGCAUCCUGGACCGGUAUUGACGCUGAGGCGCGAAAGCUAGGGGAGCAAACGGGAUUAGAUACCCUGGUAGUCCACGCCCUAAACGAUGGCAACUAGGUGUUGGGGAAGCGAUUUCCUGGUACCGCAGCUAACGCGUGAAGUUGCCCGCCUGGGGAGUACGGUCGCAAGAUUA
rnacentral:rRNA from 1 species